rnacentral:lncRNA from 1 species
UUUAAAUUAUUUUGCGAUUUUUUUUUUAAGUUCUUUCUUUUCAUAUCUGCCCUGCUGGUAGAGAUACCCACCAGGAGAGUGGCGAAUUCGUGGCCUGGGCGCUCUGAGGCCACUUCAGGACAGGAUUUUCCUUGUCCAAUUACACUAGGGCAGCAGGAGGCCUGUGAUUGGACAGGGGAAAGGGAGGCGGAGCUAAGCGGUGCAGGAACAGAGAGCAUUUCAGAAGGGACAGGAGGAAGGCAAAAUGGAGGCAGAUGCAAACCAGCCAGCCACAGGUGUCACCAGCUUCUGUCCAUUGGUUGGGUGCAAAUAUCUCCAUUUGACUCUUUCAGCUGUUUGUUUGGCCUUUUGGGGAGCAGUUAUAAUAGGCUCCUGUUUGUAAGGACAACAUGGUAUCAGU